GCACAUUGAACACAGGCUUUAUUCCCAGUUACUAAUGUGUUCUAAGCUACUGGACACAGUGCUGCUUUGGAGUCACUACUCAGAUUUGAGAUAAGCAUGAGCAAAUAGAUAAUGAAGGAUAAAGUUGAAGAAAUAGGUCACCAGAAGGAACUGAAUUCAGAGAAGGAGAUCAUGUUUUAUAUCCAAAUACUCAACUUAGUUUCUCAUGGAGAAUGAUGGCCUGGGCAUUUCUGGACACAGUAUAAGGCAAGAAAUUUGUGGAUUUGACCUGAUUAUUGGAGCUUCACACAACGGAGAGCAGGGAUACUGACCACACUACUGGCUUAGAGAUUUGGAAGCAGGACCUGAUGCUCACUCUGCAUUUCUUCCUCUGGCUCCUGAACAUCCCCCUCCUCAUGUCCAACCUCACUCACCCCAAGUGCUUUUGGAGAAUGAAGCAGAAUGAAGACAAG